AUUGAACGCUGGCGGCAGGCCUAACACAUGCAAGUCGAACGAGUGGCGGACGGGUGAGUAAUGUCUGGGAAACUGCCUGAUGGAGGGGGAUAACUACUGGAAACGGUAGCUAAUACCGCAUACCAUCGGAUGUGCCCAGAUGGGAUUAGCUUGUAGGUGAGGUAACGGCUCACCUAGGCGACGAUCCCUAGCUGGUCUGAGAGGAUGACGAGCCACACGGGACAUGGGACACGGUCCAGCCUCCGACGGGAGGCAGCAGUGGGGAAUAUGGCACAAGUGGCGCAAGCCUGAUGCAGCCAGGCCGCGGGUAUGAAGAAGGCCUUCGGGUGGUAAAGUAAUGUCAGCGGGGAGGCGUUAACCGCAGAAGCAGCACCGGCUAACUCCGUGCCAGCAGCCGCGGUAAUAC
rnacentral:rRNA from 1 species